rnacentral:tmRNA from 1 species
GGGGUCGAUCGGUAUUGACAGCGAGUGGAAUUAGUUAGUAAGCACGUCGAGCGUUGUUAUGUAGCUCGUAAAUAUCAUGUAACGAACUUUUUAAACGGCGAAAAUAAUUACGCUUUAGCUGCUUAAUCUGAAUUAUAGUAAGAUUUGCCUUUAGUUCCCACCAGGUGGGAGAGCUAGAUUCCUCUUAAGAGCCUUGGUUUAUGGCGCUUUGUCCAGAGGAACCGUAAAGUAAACCUAGACCUACGAGCGUCUCGUACAUAGGUUGACAUCUUAGAGACUAAGUUGUGAGUGGCUGUUUCUUGCCAAGCUCACAAUCGAAAAUUUAAUAAGGAACUAAGCGUGUAGAAAGCUUCCUGAUUGCUUGUUUGGACCCGAGUUCGAUUCUCGGCGACUCCACAG